rnacentral:rRNA from 1 species
GACGAGGGGUCCUAGCGUUGUUCGGAAUCACUGGGCGUAAAGCGCGCGCAGGCGGGUCUGUAAGUCGGAAGUGAAAUUGCACUGCUCAACGGUGUAGCUGCUUCUGAUACUGCAGACCUUGAGACCGGUAGAGGUUGGUAGAAUUGCAGGUGUAGCGGUGGAAUGCGUAGAGAUCUGCAAGAAUGCCCGUGGCGAAGGCGGCCAACUGGGCCGGUUCUGACGCUGAGGCGCGAAAGCGUGGGGAGCAAACAGG